rnacentral:rRNA from 1 species
UACGAAGGGGGCUAGCGUUGUUCGGAGUUACUGGGCGUAAAGCGCACGUAGGCGGAUAUUUAAGUCAGGGGGUGAAAUCCCAGAGCUCAACUCUGGAACUGCCUUUGAUACUGGGUAUCUUGAGUAUGGAAGAGGUAAGUGGAAUUGCGAGUGUAGAGGUGAAAUUCGUAGAUAUUCGCAGGAACACCAGUGGCGAAGGCGGCUUACUGGUCCGGUACUGACGCUGAGGUGCGAAAAGCGUGGG